AAGAAGAAGGAAUUCAUAUCACAAUAUUGCAGAUUUCUUCUUCAGUGCAAUAAUUACCUAUGUAGAGAAUUUAGACAUAAACAGUGAACAAACAUGUUGAACACAAUAUUUAAACUGCAAAACAAUCAUGUUCUCACUAAGAAAAUGAGCAAUGCACAACCUUUUGGCAGCUUUCCACCACCCUUGAAUAUCACAAAUGCAUGAUUACUCUAUGAGGAUUAAACAUGGGUAAGAACUAAGAGCCAGGAAAAUUUAUAAUAAUUAUACUAUUGAAAAAGUAAUUUUUAUCUGCAGAAAAUGACAUCAAAAUCAUACAUGAAAUUUCAAAUUUCUCAAAUCAAUAGUUGAGUAUACCAUAUGCUAUACAAAACUAUUUAGUUUGGCCUGCAAGUAAUAGUUAAAUAAUUUUAUUAAGCACCCUGCAGUACAUAUUAAACUCCCCAAACAAAAUAGAAAAUUUUGAAAAACAAUUUAAUGGAACUCAUACACAAUAUCUGAAUUAAAAUUUUUU
rnacentral:misc_RNA from 1 species